rnacentral:rRNA from 1 species
GACGAACGCUGGCGGCGUGCUUAACACAUGCAAGUCGAACGGAAAGGCCCUGCUUUUGUGGGGUGCUCGAGUGGCGAACGGGUGAGUAACACGUGAGUAACCUGCCCUUGACUUUGGGAUAACUUCAGGAAACUGGGGCUAAUACCGGAUAGGAGCUCCUGCUGCAUGGUGGGGGUGGGAAAGUUUCGGCGGUUGGGGAUGGACUCGCGGCUUAUCAGCUUGUUGGUGGGGUAUUGGCUUACCAAGGCUUUGACGGGUAGCCGGCCUGGGAGGGUGACCGGCCACAUUGGGACUGAGAUACGGCCCAGACUCCUACGGGAGGCAGCAGUGGGGAAUAUUGCACAAUGGGCGGAAGCCUGAUGCAGCAACGCCGCGUGCGGGAUGACGGCCUUCGGGUUGUAAACCGCUUUCGCCUGUGACGAAGCGUGAGUGACGGUAAUGGGUAAAGAAGCACCGGCUAACUACGUG